rfam:Scleropages formosus scaffold15383, whole genome shotgun sequence.
UGAUGCCCCUCUCCCACCGCUGAAGAUCCCGGGUGGGCGAGGGAACGACAAGAGGGAUC